UACAGAGGGUGCGAGCGUUAAUCGGAAUUACUGGGCGUAAAGCGCGCGUAGGCGGCUUUGCAAGUCGGGUGUGAAAUCCCAAGGCUUAACCUGGGAACUGCAUUCGAGACUGCAUUGCUAGAGUAUGGGAGAGGGAAGUGGAAUUUCCGGUGUAGCGGUGAAAUGCGUAGAUAUCGGAAGGAACAUCAGUGGCGAAAGCGACUUCCUGGACCAAUACUGACGCUCAGGUGCGAAAGCGUGGGGAGCAAACAGG
rnacentral:rRNA from 1 species